rnacentral:tRNA from 1 species
GCCCGGCUGGCUCAGUUGGUGGAGCUUGUGACUCUUGAUCUCAGGGUUGUAAGUUCGAGCCUCACGUUUGGUG